CCUACGGGUGGCACCAGUAGGGAAUCUUCGGCAAUGGACGAAAGUCUGACCGAGCAACGCCGCGUGAGUGAAGAAGGUUUUCGGAUCGUAAAACUCUGUUGGUAGAGAAGAACGUUGGUGAGAGUGGAAAGCUCAUCAAGUGACGGUAACUACCCAGAAAGGGACGGCUAACUACGUGCCAGCAGCCGCGGUAAUACGUAGGUCCCGAGCGUUGUCCGGAUUUAUUGGGCGUAAAGCGAGCGCAGGUGGUUUAUUAAGUCUGGUGUAAAAGGCAGUGGCUCAACCAUUGUAUGCAUUGGAAACUGGUAGACUUGAGUGCAGGAGAGGAGAGUGGAAUUCCAUGUGUAGCGGUGAAAUGCGUAGAUAUAUGGAGGAACACCGGUGGCGAAAGCGGCUCUCUGGCCUGUAACUGACACUGAGGCUCGAAAGCGUGGGGAGCAAACAGGAUUAGAUACCCCAGUAGUC
rnacentral:rRNA from 1 species